rnacentral:rRNA from 1 species
CCCCUAGAUGUUCUGGGCCGCACGCGCGCUACACUGAACAGUUCAACAAGUCUUAACCUUGGCCGAUAGGUCUGGGUAAUCUUUGAACGCUGUUCGUGAUUGGGAUAGACCUUUGCAAUUAUGGGUCUUCAACGAGGAAUUCCUAGUAAACGCAAGUCAUCAGUUUGCAUUGAUUACGUCCCUGCCCUUUGUACACACCGCCCGUCGCACCUACCGAUUGAAUGGUCCGGUGAAAUCUCGGGACGGCGGCUUGGUCGCUUGCGUCCGACUGCUGAAACUUGAUUAAACCAUAUCAUUUAGAGGAAGGUGAAGUCGUANCA